rnacentral:rRNA from 1 species
AAGAGACAGCAGUCGCCGCGGGAAAACCAGCACCUCGAGUGGUCAGGAGGUUUAUUGGGCCUAAAGCAUCCGUAGCCGGUUGCAUAAGUUUUCGGUUAAAUCUAUGCGCUUAACGUAUAGGCCGCCGAAAAUACUGUGCAGCUAGGGAGUGGGAGAGGUACACGGUACUCGAUAGGAAGGGGUAAAAUCCUUUGAUCUAUUGAUGACCACCUGUGGCGAAGGCGGUGUACCAGAACACGUUCGACGGUGAGGGAUGAAAGCUGGGGGAGCAAACCGGAUUAGAUACCCGAGUAGUCCCUGUCUCUUAUAA